rnacentral:lncRNA from 1 species
UUAAAUAAUCCAAACUGGAGAAGGAAUUUCCAGGUCAAAAGAACCAAACACCCCUCUCCUAAGUUCAUCACGAAAGUCACGAUUUGGGAGCCCUAAUUUAUAAAAAAUGCUCAAUUUAUAUCGGCAUUACAGUGAAAUUCCUCAAACAUCUCCGUCGAAGGCAUGAACCCUACUCCCAAAAUCAUAAUUAUUCCAAAAUUGAAUAACUAUAAAAGGCGAUUGUUGAAUAUGUUGGUAUGGAGAGAACAUGUAGAGGUAAGAAAAAUUUUCCCUUUUCGUUAAUUUAAUUUCAUUGGAUCUAUAGUGCAAACUAGUCUUUUUGAUCCGGUUGAGUUAAUGGAAUCGAGAUAACAUAAUGAAAUGCGCACAAUGCUCUUAUCCACGGCUCUGAUUUUCCAUUUCAUUUGUUUUCAUCUCUUAAGCUUCGUUCUUUGAUUUUGGGAGUUCACUAGUGCAGUUCUUAGAUGUGGUAUGCCCAAAAAAGCUUAGUUCUUUCUCCAAAGUCACUUUCAGUCUGCUAUCUUGUCUCACCCGUGUGUGUUAUAAUAUGGCUUGGGCGAGGAUCCAAUUUCCCAUUUCGUUAGUCCUCUGUGUUUUUACAUCAUAGGGCUAAUAUGCUAAUAGCUCCAAUUUAGUUUUUACUACAUCAUAUGUAAUUAAUGGAUGCAUUACAUUUUAUGUUUCAUAGGAAAGACCAAGGAGACUUGCCACAUUUACAAAGAACCAAGCCACCAAUUAUGGGUAUACCCAAUAAAACUACAAUGUCCAAAUUGUGCCGGAGGCAUCAUGAAAUGGAUGGAAUUAGAAAGGACGAAGGAGUAGGUCAGUUAUUCUUUUGUUGCACUAGAGAUAAUUGGGUUUUCGAGUGGAGAAAAGUCCUACCCACAACCGUAAUCAAUUCCAAGAAGAAGGUCAAUGCUGUGGUGUUAAAGAAGAACGAAAGGGCUUUUCAAUUGAAGAUAUGUCCAGUUUGUUCAAGAUUGCGUCUGAAAUUAUCAAACAACAAGAUGUUAACAUAUUCUUUAAACUAAGCUUCUGCAAGGCUAAAGGAGAACGGAACUCAAUGGGAAACGAAGGCCAAGAGAGUCGUGAACAUAUUCCAUAAAUGAAGGCGAUGAGAUGAGAAUAAUUAGCUUUUAAUUUCAUAUUUUUUUAAUAACAACUAGACUAUUCAUGCUUCUAAUUUCAUAUUUAUUGUUUUCAUUUAACUGGAGACUAUGCUAUGUUGAUAAUUGAUUUCGUGAUGUUGUGAUUUCUAAAAAAG